UCCAACCCCCCUGUCAUUGGCAGGGACACCUCACACUAAACCAUGUCAACCAAGGCUCUGUCCAGCCUGGCCUUGAACACUGCUGGGGAUGCAGCAUUCACAACUUCCUUGGACAACCUGUUCCAGUGCCUCACCACCCUUACAGUAAAGAACUUCUUCCUUUCUCAAGUCCAGUGAAGAAUUCCACAAUAUGAUGUUAUUUUGCAAGAAUGUAUUUAUAAAAAUUACUUCCUGAAGUAUGACCUGUCUUGGACUUUCUCAUGGAGAGUUGCCAUCUGUUGCCAGUACUCAUCAUUGGUGUUAAUCUCUACUGUUAGCAAUUAAAACUUUAGAUGCCAUGAGAGCUAUUUUGGCUGACAGUGAAAAGUACUUUUUUAUAAUAGCUGGAAUUUCACAAAAAAAAAAAAAAAAAAAAAGGAAA